GCUUCGGUGGCGAAGUUGGUUAACGCACCUUCCUGGCAAGAAGGAGGCCCAGGUUCAACUCCUGGCCGAAGCA
rnacentral:tRNA from 1 species